CCUACGGGCGGCAGCAGUGAGGAAUUUUCGUCAAUGGGGGCAACCCUGAACGAGCAACGCCGCGUGCAGGAAGAAGGUUUUCGGAUCGUAAACUGCUUUUCUGAGGGACGAGCAAGGACGGUACCUCAGGAAGAAGCCCCGGCUAACUACGUGCCAGCAGCCGCGGUAAUACGUAGGGGGCGAGCGUUGUCCGGAGUUAUUGGGCGUAAAGGGCACGCAGGCGGUCUCUUAAGUUCGGAGUGACAGUCGUCGGCUUAACUGACGAAGGGCUUGGAAGACUGAGAGACUUGAGGGCUCACGAGGGACACGGAAUUCCGGGUGUAGUGGUGAAAUGCGUAGAUAUCCGGAGGAACACCAAAGGCGAAGGCAGUGUCCUGGGGAGUACCUGACGCUCAGGUGCGAAAGCCAGGGGAGCGAACGGGAUUAGAUACCCCAGUAGUC
rnacentral:rRNA from 1 species